GGCCUAACACAUGCAAGUCGCGGGCGAGCACGGGUAGCAAUACCUGGUGGCGACCGGCGCACGGGUGCGUAACGCGUAUGCAACCUGCCCCCAUCAGGGGAAGUAGCCCGCCGAAAGGCGGAUUAAUGCCCAUAGGCCCAGGGCGCCGCAUGGCGCUAUGGGUAAAGCUCCGGCGGAUGGGGAUGGGCAUGCGUGCCAUUAGCUAGUUGGGGCGGUAACGGCGCACCAAGGCGACGAUGGCUAGGGGGUCUGAGAGGAUGGUCCCCCACACUGGUACUGAGACACGGACCAGACUCCUACGGGAGGCAGCAGUGAGGAAUAUUGGUCAAUGGGCGGAAGCCUGAACCAGCCAUGCCGCGUGCAGGAUGACGGCCCUACGGGUUGUAAACUGCUUUUCCCCGGGAAGAAUAAGCCCCUCGUGAGGGGUGAUGCCGGUACCGGGGGAAUAAGGAUCGGCUAACUCCGUGCCAGCCGCUGC
rnacentral:rRNA from 1 species